rnacentral:lncRNA from 1 species
UUUUGGUUCUUUAUUCUUGGAACAUGAUAUUCAGGAUCUUGAGGAUUUGGGGAUGGUUUUAGAUCAUUUGAUUGAGCUGUAACUGUUGUAUAUUGAGCGGUACCCCCUUAAUACCUUUGAAAUGAUAUUUUUUUUUUUAUUUCAAAAAAAAAAAAAACAGGUUGUGUUUUUGGAAGUAUAAAACCUUAAUUUAUCUGGGUCAUAAUUUCAACUUACAUUACAUAAACAAGCUUGCAUGUAAAGAUAGAAAAUCAUGAUUUUUCUGAUUCAUUUUUUUUUUAGAUAAAAAGUGUGAAGUAUGAUUUUUUCUGAUUCAUAAUUUGAAGUUAUGUUACAAAAGCAUGAGAUAUAAUAUUCCCUUUGACUAUUAGUUACGGUCAAUAAUUUUUUUUAUCAUCAAUAAAAAUUGACAAAGAAAUUUUCCGAAUUACCCUUUCUGCUCCAAUCUUUUUUAUCAUUGCUAUCCUUCUACUACCCAUCCUCUCUACUGUCCGCACAUGGCCUGCACGGAGAGGAUGUUGGCCGUGACCUAUGCUGCUUCUUCCGCAAUCCCAACGAAUAUUUGAAUAUCUUGAGCUGAUUGUGGUUAUUGAUUUCUAGAGAAUAUCCUGAACCAGCUUGGGCUAAUUUUCAGUACUAGCUGACAUUAAUAAGAAGUCCACUUUAGAUAUGCACCCAAAAAUAAAUUUAUGUGAAAUAUCAAUUAGGGCAUCAAAAAAUAGGGAAGAACUUUAAUAAAGAACUAUCUUUCUUGGCACCAAUUAGUUAGAAUGCAAACAGUCAUCUAAAAAUCUUUGUCAAUCCAAACAACAAUGGACUUGGGACAACUUUUCUACUCAACAAUAUGCUUAGGAAAUUGACUUUGGAGAUGGUAAUAACCUAUAUGGCUGUUGUCUUAAAAAAAAAAUAUCCUAUAUGGCUGUAACCUCACUUGUGAGUGAUGGUAUACACUUGGACUUAUCAAACUUUCGCAAAUAUGAGAAAACAGAUCAAGAGGUAGCAAGAAUCCUCAAUAAGGUUAUAAAUCUAAACUUCAAAAACAUCUAAAAGAAAAACUCAUAUUAUUAGGUACAUCGAGAAGAUAUAUAAUGUCUUAUAUUUUUUAAGGAUUGGGAAUGGCGAGGAGGAGGGAAUGCAACAAGUUCAGUAAGAUUUUUACCAUCAGAAAGUCACCAACUUGAAAAGACUUAUCAAUAGAAGAAUGAAAAGCUGGCCCUUGGGUGUAGUUAAACAUGUGAGAGGUUUAUGAGGGAAUGAUAGGGAUAGUGUCAAAAGUUGUAGCAGGUUGGGCCCUAAUAAACUUGAGAUCACUAAGAAAACAGCUUGGUGAUAAGACAACUGACAAUAUGUUCAUUAUCUGAGUAAACAUCAUCACCUGAGUAGGACUAACAAUUUGUGUAAUAACACUAGGACAAGGAACGACUAGAUUACAUGCCUGAGAGUAUGAGAAGCCUUGCUCAUGGCUCUGAUAUGAAAGAAAAUAAAGAGAAAGAAGGGGGAGAGUCGGUUGAGAGAGAGAGAGAUAAGAUUCACUUAAGAUAAAUUCAUUUUUGAUGCUUUAUUAACAGAAAUCAUGACUAUAUAGGAUACAAUGGCGGAGGGUUGGAGGUUGCAACGGCUUGAACAGCAGGAGGUCAAGGGUCCCAAUAUU